rnacentral:lncRNA from 1 species
UGAUGAUGUCAGAGACUUAGGAAAAUGAAGGAAUGCAUGAAGCAAAUGAGUCCCUGGUGAAACAAAGCGCUCCGAUAUAUUUAUGAUGCAUGCCUUGAACACAACCAUGAGCUUGAGUUCUCUAAUUAACAUCUUAUUUGGUUAAAGGUGAAAUUUUAUAGAGAUUAUAACAUUUAAAUAUGAUGCAAGUUGAAUUAUGAAAGUAAUGAGUGUUGGAGGAUAAUUGAAAAGAUAAAUUUGAAGAAGUUAUUAUUACGGAGAAAGUUGGAGAAGAGGAAAAACAUCAUCAAUACGGGGGCUCGAUAAGGAAGACAUCCUCUUUCUUUCUCUCUCUUAAUAGACACCAACAUGGUGGCCAUGUGAUAGAUACGUGGUUG